CAAAAAAAGACACAUUAUUAAAUAAUAAAAAUAUUAUAGGUGACGCAUUUUUCGGCCUUUAAAACACUACGACUCGAGUAUGGUAUUAGUAUUCUUUAUAAUGGUAUAUAAAAGUUAUUUUAGGUUUGAUUUAUCAGUUUUAAUUACUUCUCAUGAAUGAUUUUCAAUAUUUUAUAUUUUGGGUCAAUAUUUUUUUAUAAUAAAUUCGACGAUUUAUUGUUAUACUCGUAUGAAUAUUUAUUUACUCUAGGUAUAUAAGGAACAAAAUUUUUUACCAGUGCAAGUUGAAGCAAUCACUAGAAUCAUGACAAAAUUACUGAUGGUAUUUGUAAUAACCGCCUUGAUGGCAUAUUUCGCAUUCGCUCUCCCACAGCAAGAGGGAGAACAGCGAGUACCUAGAUAAUAUGAACAUGCUGACCCCAUUAAAAACUGUUUUUAAAUUGGAUGAAAUUUUAAUAAACAGCAUAUAAUAAAGCAUAAAUGUGUUUUAAUA